rnacentral:piRNA from 1 species
UCUUUGUGUCUCUUCCUCCCACUCUCUC